AGAAAAUUGAGUGGCAAACAAGUCUUCAAUCAAAUCAUCCAACUGAUGAUUUGGGUUCUCAAUCCCACCUCUUCACCUUGCCUGUGAUGUCUUAAUCAUCUCCAUGGCAACCAUGUGACCUCAGAGACAGACUAGAAAGCCAGAAAAAAUUAACAACCAGUACAGCAACCAGAUCCCCUCAGAACUGCAGACUAUGGUUGGAGCACUGAGGAUCAAGUUCAACCAGUAAUUUAUUUCUUCUAAAUGGGGAUAAUAUUGGCAUUUUCCUA